GGAUUGUGGCUCAGCGGUAGAGUGAUCGCCUUGCACAUGCGAGACUGGGUUCGAUCCUCAGCACCA
rnacentral:tRNA from 1 species